ensembl:lncRNA
GGACAUUAAAAGAUUAGGGGGAUGUGGGCACGUGCUGGCUUCUGGAGAAGGAGACAAUGCUUGAUUUAGGAUGGAACUUGUCUGCGACGGCCGACAAAGGAGGGAGGCUGGAGCGAGGCAGGGGUCAGCGGAGCUCUUGCUCAGGGGGAGACAAAGGCAAGGGAGGAAGGAGAGGAGGAGCAGAAGUGAGAAGCGGCUGCAGCGUGCUCUGAAAAGGCCGCCGCGGUCUUGCAACAGCUGCUCCCGCACAAGAAAUUUGAGACGGUCUUUUCACAAACACAACGGCUGUCAGAAGAAUAGGGAGGCCACACUUCGCCAGAAUGAGUCGUUUGCAAUUGAAAAGGGGAACUGAGAGCUCCCAGUGCUUUCAAAGGUCUGUAUCUACAGCACUACGAAAUGAUUAGUCAAAGUACAUCGUGGAACAGGAGGAAAGUGUGCCGCAGACCAUAGGGGGAAGUAAAUCCUUGCGGUGCUGUUAAAAGUUGAUGCAGCAGCCAUUCUCUGCAGUAUGUGGCACAGAAGAAAGCAUCCACCCAGCUCUCCUGCUGAGACUCCAGUCAACUCUUUUCUGGCCAGUUGAAUUCUCAGCUUCUUUAAAGCAGCCCCUGCUGUCUGCCUGACAAAAUACCGUAGGCAUCUCAGGAUUUCUUGUAACACACCAGACAGAGAAGCUGAUCCUUCCAUGGAGCAGGCCAGCAUGGUUUCUCUGCCCUGGAAGCUACUGGAAUGUUCCACCAAGAAGAGGUUAAGCUAUGCUGGGUCUUGCGUACCAUGAGGUGCAAGGCAUACUGCCUGUGUAGCAGCUCUCCCUGUAGCAUCUCUUCUGAGGAAAAAGGACUGAAAUUUCCACAUCUGUAAACUUUACCAUUGUGUAAGUGUUGGUUUCCCACAAAAAUGGGAAUACAUGAACUGUGUGAUGAACUCUGGUGUGAUUGCAGCGACCAUGGUUGCCAUGAUCAUGAGGUGGUGGAGUUCAGGAUCUCAUGUGGCCAGAACAGAAUACCGAGCAGAAUCACAACCCUGGACUUCAGGAAGGCCAACUGUGGCCUUUUCAAGCAACUGCUAGGGGAAAUCCCAUGGGACAGGGUACUUGAAAGGGCCCAAGAUAGUUGGUUAGCAUUCAAGGACUGCUUCUUCCAAGCUCGAAAUCAGAGCAUUCAAACAGGCAGGAAGUUGAGAAAGGGAGCCAGGAGAUCUGUGUGAUUAAACAGGGAACUGCUGGGCAAGGAAGUGGAAAAGGAGAGUUUACAGAUCAUGGAAGGAGGGGCUGGUCACUUGGGAGGAAUAUAAGACUGUUGUCAGAGGAUGUGGGGAGGCAAAUAGGAAAGCUAAGGCCUCCUUAGAAUUAAACCUUUGUAGAGGGGUCAAGGACAACAAAAAGGGAUUUUUCAAAUACACUGCAGAUAAAACUAAUACUGGAGGCAAUGUAGGUCCACUGAUGAAUGAGGUGGGUGCCCUGGUGACAGAAGACACAGAGAAGGCAGAGUUACUGCUGGAGGCUGUCCUGAUGAUCUCUGUACCCCUGAGUCCCCAGAGGAAAUCAGAAUAAAGGAAGAGUUUGUCUCAGUUGAUGAGGACUGGGUUAUGGGCCAGUUAAGCAAUCUGGACAUCCAUGAAUCCAUGGGCCCUGAUGGGAUUCAUCCGCGGAUGCUGAGAGAGCUGGUAGAAGUCAUUGCUAGGCUGUUCUCCAUCACUGGUAAGUUGUGGGGAAUGGGAGAGCUGCCUGAGGGCUGGAGGAAAGCAAAUGUCACCUCAGUCUUGAAAAAGGGCAAGAUGAGGACCCUAGUAACCAUAGACCAGUUAGCCUCACCUCCAUCCCUGGAAAGGUGAUGGAACAACUUAUCCUUGGCACUGUCUCUAGGCAUAGGAUAAGAAGGAUAGAAAGGAUCAGAUCAUUAGAGUUAGUCAGCAUGGCUUCAACAAGGGAAAGUCAUGCUCGACCAACCUGAUAGCCUUUUAUGAAGAAAUAAUCAGGUAGACAGAUGAUGGUAAAGCAGUGCUAUCUUGAUUUUGGUAAAGCAGUGCUAUCUUGAUUUCAGUAAAGCAUUUGAUAACAUCUCCCACAGCAUCCUCACAGCUAAACUGAGGAAGUGUGGUCUGGACAAUUGGGUAGUGAGGUGGAUUGUGAACUGGCUGAACGGAAGAAGCCAGUGAGUUUUAGUCAGUGUGGUGGAGACUAGUUGGAGGCCUGUGUCUAGUGGAGUCCUUCAGGGAUUGGUACGAGGACUGGUGCUAUUCAAUAUAUUCAUCAGUGACUUAGAUGAGGGGACAGAGUGCAUGGUCAGCAAGUUUGCUGAUGACACAAAACUGGGAGGAAUGGCUGACAGGCCAGAAGGCUGUCUUGCCAUCCAGUGAGACCUAGACAGGCUAGAGAGUUGGGUGGGGAACAAUUUAAUGAAAUACAAAAAGGGGAACUGUUGGAGAGCAGAGUAGGGGAAAGGGACCUGGGGGUCCUGGGGUAGACAUCAGGAUGACAGAUUUUUUUCUCUCACGUGUGUUAUUGCCAAGUCUCAAGACAGUCUUUGGUUUUCAAAGUUUGUGGGCUUUUUUUUUCUUGUCUGUUUGUUUUUGUGAUUGUUUAAUUUUGAUUUUGUUUACAGGAUCUAAUAUAAGGUACCCUCCAAAUGCCUCACAGUCCUGAGCACCCCCUGAUGUGUGGCAGCCCUCCUAAAGUAGACCUUCUUUUGGUGUAGCACAUGCCAAAGCACUGAUAAACAGAUCACUCGAACACUGGCUCGGAGUGUACCCACUUACUGUUGAGUAGAAAUCCCUGUGUUUAUAGCACUGAGUUCUUAAGGCCUUGCCUAUCUGAUGAAGAUAGAGCAUUAAUCUGUCUGUGUGUUUUGGGAAUUCAGACACAGUAGCAUUCAACUUCAUAUGGCAACAAAAUGGUGUGGUCAAGGGAAGAUGCAGGCAGAAGACACACUGCAAGUGUCAUACUCCAAGUAACAAGGGCAGUUUGUUUUUUCUAUAUUUUCUUAAAGCAAAUGUGAUUUUGUUUGUUUGUUGACAGCUAUGUUCUAAGUAAAAAUGUUUGAAGGCUUUUGAAAAAUAAAAUAAAUAUAUUAGACCAGUAUUCCGGAGGGCAUUUAUGUGUAGUCAGUUAAAAGCUUUUGGACGAAACUGAAAUAAGCAAUGAAUGACUUUUCAGAAUUCUCUAGUGGCAUUUUUCUUGGUAAUAUUUCCCCCUAUCUUUGUUCACCAGUGCAGCAUGGUAUACAAGGAAAUUCCCGUAUGUCACCUCAUUUGACCCUGAGAGCCUGGCUUGUGAGCAGAUACUGUGCUCAAUUUUUGGCCAUGCUGCUGCCUGGCUCCUCUGAAGAAGCACUGCUGCAGGUAGAUAUAGAAAGGUCCAACACCGUGCCCCCAUUUCUAAGUGGGAUGAUGGGCAGACAGGCAUGCGUGUAUUAUGCUGUCUAAAUGUUGGAGUGCCUGUUUACAGAACAGGGAAGCCAGGAGGCUAAGCUUUUGUUUUAGUGAUUCUCUAAAUGCACAGACAGGGAAUAGUACUCUGAGGUCUGGGGCAGCCACCCUUGAGAAGAGGGAGAGGCAAGACAUUGCAGAAGAGCACUGAGAGCACCUGUGUGUACUGUUCUUGCUUUCUGUAACUGCUCAAAAGAAAUUAAGGGGAAGUUCAUAGUAAGGUCCUGAAUUAUUAUUAUUAACACUUGCUCCAGGUGUUGUAAAAAUUAAAAACAAAACAAAACAAAACAAAAAAACGACAUGGCAAACACAGGAAAAAAGGAAAAAGCUUCAGCUGGGAGAAAAACUGAAGCCAGAAAAAGGUAAGUUUAAGAGAUAGCAGUUCCUGGCAGAAGAGAGACCCCAGGACACAUUUGGAGGACAGAUUUUCUGGGCUGGAAAAGGCUUUGAAGGAAACAUGAAGGAAAAAAUUAAAAAGGAGGGAAAAAGGAGAAAAAGGCCUUGUUUGCACUCUAAGUCCCAGAAGUGAUAACCACAUCCUCUUUCCACAGCUGCUUUUCUUUAACUGCCCUGCCACUGCCGUGUAUAUGGUCAGUGCUCGCAUUUGGAGUGUGAAUCUGUCACUUAGCAAUGAUGAGGAGGCACUUGCUCCUGACCUUUUUCUUUGAGUGUUUCAAUAAUUUAUAGCUGUGAAGUUUGUUCAGCCGGUAGGCUAAGGUCCGUGUACCACCUCGCAGCCCUGAUAUGUCCUAAGUUUGGCAGACCAAAUACAGGGCUGAUGUAUAACACUGCAAUCAACCAGGGCAACACUGUCUUCCUCUUCCAUCCACACAUAAUGACUUGGUUUUGGUGAUAAUAUAGAAAAAAAACAUAUUGAAAACUGGGUUAUAUGCUGGCCUCAGCUAGCAGAGUAAGAGCAUGUAAUAAACAUCCUCAUUAACAGAUCUGUUCAAAGGCAGUAUGCAGCAAUACUGCUUCUGUGCCUGAGCAGGGGGAUGGAGCUGGGAAAACAGCCUAGCUCAACUGCAGGUAGCCCAGAUGAUCAUGAGUCUCUAGAAGAUGGAGUCUGCCCUCAGGAAGGGCAGGCUGGCCAGGGCAGCAUGCCUGUGGCAGACCCUGAUUGCCCCUACAUCCCUCUGGCAGCAAUAAUGCAAAUGGUGGGGCUUGUAUUUUCAGGACUGCUGGGAGUUUUAUUGCAGGUGUGUGCAGAACUUGCACAAAAGUACUGCACAGGAGAGAGGCCCCAGCUCACUUGCAGCAGCAGGCUUGCUCUUUGGAAGCCAGUGGCUUGUUCCAAGAUUGAUGGCAAGUAAUAGCAGAAGCCUGUGUCAUUUUGCUACUUUCCAGACUCCAACUUUUCAGAAGGUGAUAUUGCCUUUCAGCUGAAUUGCUUUGGACUCUCCUGACCUUUGCUCUGUUGAGAACUGAAUUAGCCAUCUUGCUGUAGCUAAACCUUCACUGCUGCUACAGAAAUGUGUAGUAAUAAAAUAAAUUGGCUCACAGUGACAAAAUUGAGUGACAUUUUACUUCACAGAACUGUAUGAUAGCCUCGCACUUUACAGCAUCUUCUAAGCAAAAAAAAAAAAAAAAGUUUUCACUUAGAUUUUUUUUUCUUCUUUAAUUAUUUUUCUCUUUACCUCCUUAUAACUUGUCCCUCCCAUUUUUUAUUAACAUCUGUGGUCUGAUAUUGUCUCACAUUAUGUUUUCAAAGCAUAUAAACACAUGAAAAGUAUUACUGAGCUAUAAGAAAUCAGGCAAGACAGGAAUCAAAAUAAUAAGGAACAGUAUAAAGUAUUCUAAAUAUAUUUCUCAGUGUUGCCCCUUUGUGAGGGAGGGAGGAAUGUCAUUGCUUGGAGCAAAUCUACGGGGCAAUGUGUGCUAAAAAAGCACCACAGUGCCUCUAUUUCCUUCAUAUCUGUGAAAAUCUGAAAGACCAAAAGAGCUAGCAAGUUACGAAGGUAAAAAGGAAGAGGUUACUGCAAAUAUCAGUGAGGGAGCUCACUGCUUACAUGAGACAAAAGAGAACCAGCUGGGAAGCUGAAUUUUGGGGGAUGCAAGCAGUAAAUGUAAUUGAUGUGGUACUGCAAAGGGCUGAGUGCCUUUCUGAACAAUGGCUUGUGUCUUGGUUCUGUCAGGAGGGCUGCUGGUCUCUGACCAGACUCAAUCCAGAGAAAUUGGCAUUGUUUUUAGUGUAGCAAGAUACAGCAAAUAGAGUGAAAGCUAGUGGUGUCUGUACAGGUUAUCCAGUCAUUGCUGCAAGAAUAAAUCACUGUCACACCCUCUGUGCAGGGUAAUCUUUAUCUCAAAUGUGCUUCUGUUAAACAGAAUUACAAGAUAAAACAAAACAAACCCCACCAUUCUCCUCUCUCUGCCUAUUGAUUCUGUUAUGUGCUCAAACAAGUAGCACAGUGCCUAGCAAGCUGGAGUGGUGCCGCCUUGCAAUUUGGGAUGUUUAUCCAGGAUUGCAGAAAGCAUGCAACAAUUUUGACUGCAAAGGUUUAUUGCAUUUUCUGGGAAUACUGGUUCUGUUCUAGAAUGCAGUCUUUCCAAGCAGGCCAAGAAGCAUCAUUUUUUAAUGGGACAAGUCUUUAGCAGACACCUCUAUGAUUAGAAUUUUCCCUGUGCAAUUUUUGGAGAAAGUGUGUUUGUGUGCUACUUUGGGGGAAAAAAUAAAUGCAUACUUUGGAAAAUCUACAGAGUAAAAAAAUACUUGUGAUAUUAAUCUGUUGUGCUAUUUUUAUAUGUUGUGGUAGUUUCUUCUUAUGAAAUAUUUGCAUGCAAAAUAAAAUAUGAGUUAAAAAUCCAAAGUGCAAUUGAGAUUCACAAAUGAAUAACAUCCUGCAAACUUUUCUGCUCAUUGAGUCACUUUAAUGUAUUUAUUUUUUAAUGUUAGUGAACUUCUCUUUGAUAUUGGUAAGAAAACCCACAAAACUUCACUAACAUUCAGAUCUUCUGAAUAACUUUCCCACAUAAGAGGGGAAUUUUUCUUGUGGUUUUUCAAUAGAUACUCAGUCUGUUUUGGCUAAGCACCUUCAUAAGUUUUUUCUUCUAAGUCUAAGGCUUUUUCAAGAGCUUGCAGGUGGAUUAGAAAACAGUGCUCUGCUUUCAACUUUCUGUUUCUGGUCUACGAUAAAAGAGAAUCAUAUUUUCUAUUAUUUUCUAACUAGCUUUUUUAUAACUGAGAAGAGGCUUGUGUGAGAAAUGAAGAACAUCAAAGGCUAGUGGAAGUUAACUCAGGUGUAUCACUAGCAAAUUGUCUUAAAUAUGGAAGUUGUAGGCUAUACGACCAGUUCAAAAUACUGUUGCUUCACUUUCCCUUUAUUUCCUUAAAACAAGUAAAAUGACUGUUUUGGAAAAGUGUCGUCAUGAUGUUAAAUUGACCUUAAAAUUGCAACCCAAGGAAGUUUGUUUGGGCAUAAGGGUCAAGUGAGCUGCAGUUUCUGGGAUUUAUUUACCUAAUUGUCCAUCAAAACAAGUUACAUGUUUUGGUAAGUAAGCUGGAGCAAGUAUACAAAACUUUCUAACACUCCACAGAAACAACUGUACUGCCAUAUUGAUUUGUUUACUGUAUUGUUCAGUGUCUGCUUAUGUGUGUUUACAUUUUUUUGUGCACCCUGGAGAUUCAUCUGACUUUCAUUAAUGCUUAAGAUAGACUUAUUUGCUAACAAAAAUUAUUCAUGAAUGAAAAUUAUUGUUUCUUUUCAAAAUGGCCCAAACUUUGAGUGAGAUCUGCAUUCUCAAUCCUAAACAGUGAAUUGAUGUGUGUUGGCAGGAGCCAAGUUGUUCCUUAUAUAUGAAAUUUCUUGUAAAUAGUGUUUGCAGAUUUCUCAGGAUUUCUGUGUGUCCACUCUCUAGUGUGGUAUGGGUUAUGUGGCUUUGUACAUUCCCCGUUUCUGUGAAAUGAUUGGCUUUGUGCAAUUUGGUGAGGAAGCAGAUCUUUAUUUAUUUAUUUAUUUAUUUAUUUAUUUAUUUAUUAAGAGAUGAAGAGGUUUCACUCAUAAAAAGAUGGUCUCUGCAGGAAGAGUCCUCCUCUGGUACUUCACUGCCUCUGAAGAUGCUGAGCCAAGGAGCCUGAGAGUAGUGCAUUGCAUGCACUAUGCCUCAAGACUCCCUGAGUUCCAAAGAUCUUCUGGGAACCUCAUUCCAGAAGUAAAGCAGAGUGAUCUGUCCAGGGAACUGGCUCCAGUCUUUCAGGUAUGAUGUCAUAAUGAGUUUCUGGGACAGUCCUGGCUUUCCCAGCACCUCUGUCCUGGAUUAGUGCUGGGAGUCAGAGCCAGGUAUACAUUGUAUACACUGAACCCACAUGGGCUCCACCAGUGCAAAGGAGCUGGGGAAGGGAGGUCAGGGAAUUCAUAUACUUGUAUCUGUGCAAGUAUCCUGUCCUGCUUGGCUGGUAUUCCUAUCCUGCUUCCUAUUCUAACCUCCUCUGCAGUUCUGUUCAGUAUCUACUCCUUCCUUAGAAAGUGCCAUCCAAAGCUAGCCAAGUGGAUCAGGUCUGUGGACAUUUGCACAACACUGGUGUGUCCUGUACUCUCCUGCACAAAUUCUGGCUGUUGCAAGAUGAAGUUGCUUUUGUCCUGUUCCAGAUGCCCUCGCACCACAGCUGAUAGCAGGAUUGCAUCAUUUUUCCUUGGGCCCCUUGCAGCCCCAGGUGCUGGCACCUCACUCUGGAAUGGUUAGUUGUACCCAGUGAUGGCAGAUGCCCAUCAGCAGCUUGCUGCUGGUCACACUGACAUGCCACUGAGCAAAUAUAAGAGAUACCCAUAAUGCAAAGCAGCUGCACCAAGAAGUUGCUCUUUAAAUAAUUAGAAGAGUGUCAAAGAGAUGAAGCACUUGUCCUUUACACAAAUAAGUUGAGAAAAUACAUUUUUUGGCAGUGCUCUCACUGCUGCCCUGUGCUUCAUAACCUGUUGAGCCUUGCAAUGCCAGCUGGCAUUUUGCCAUUCAUUUAUUUAACUUUCCCCUCUUAAAUCAGUGUUCAAUUACAAUAACGUAGGAUUUCUUGGUAUCAUAGCUAAUUGCAAGAAAUAAGUACUUUGCUAUGGAAAAUAAAAGGAAGCCUGGUCUUUUGGGAGCUCCCUUAGGGGAGGGGAGUUCUGUGUAUUUGCAAGAUGUACUUCCUAGGAGGAAUUUCCCUUCUUUGUUGUAAGUGGGAUGGUGAACUUUUAGUGAUCUAUAUUACUGAAACCUCAAAGCUGUUUAUUAGAAAAAAAAAUCCACUGAUCAGCAUCUUCAAAGACAAGAAAUUCAAAGAUUAUGGAUGCCUCUGUUCUUGAACAAAUGUUGGAAGUACUGUGUAAUCUUAACUAUCAUAAUACUUUAUUCUAUAACGUAACUCACUAUCCUUAAUCACGGGGAGCAAAAUAUUACUCUUUUAAAGAGCAUUUAUGUUGUGGGAUCUUUGGUUUAUCUGCUUUGAAGAACAUCUGUAGCAGAAGAACGAGGACUGUGUCUGCUCUAUAGUCUCAGAGGAAGGCAGUAAAAGGUGAGUGAACAUAAUUCACGAAGUGUACUUAGAAUUUCUGAGAGAUGAUCCUUAAGUGCUUAUUCUAGCAGGUACAAUCUACAGUUGUAAUCCUUAUUCUUGUAAGUAUUAGUAAAGAUCCAAGUCCACCUGUUGUAUAUUCUGAUGCCAUUUAUUGUAGCAUUUCUCUUUAAUUUGUUUGCUUCCUUCUUCUGAUGCCCAAAAGAAAGUUGUUGUCAUCAAACUUUUGAUAUUGAAAGGUAAGGGAUAAGUUAAGACUGGUGGAGAUUCCAGAGUCUCUGAGCUUUUAAAAAAGAAGCUAUAAUGAAUAGCCAAGAGAAUUAAAUCUUUACAGAUGACACAGCGGCUUCUUGCUGUCUCAUACUGAAUGCACCACCUGCGAAGAUAUGACUGAAGGCAAAAAGAAGGCAGUCUUCAUGGAGAGAAAACUUAACCCUUGCUAAAGGGGGUGUUUCAAAAGGCUGAAGUGCUAUUCACAUGAAAAAAAUGAGAAGGAUCAUAAACUCUAACAGAUUAAAUGUAUAAAUAAAACUUAACUGUCCAAAAGAGUUUGAGGAACAACUCACAGAAGUAAUAAAUCUUCAAAUGCAUCAAGAACUGUAAGAGUGCCAGAGAUUUUGUGGGGCCAAUAGAUGAUAGAGGUAUCAAAGGAUCGCCUACAUGAAGUAAAGUUCUUGCAGAACAAGUAAAUAAACUAUUUCCGGAGUAGAAAAGGCUGGAGAGAUUCCCAUUUUGGAACCUUUCUUUGUGAAGGGCUCAUCAGAGGAUCAUCUAAAAACUAAACUUUAUAAAUUAUAGAACAGAUAGGAGAGAAAGAAAAAAGAAUAAAGGUCAAUAGCACACAUCUAGAAGCAGAUGGUAUUCAUUUAAGUAUUUUAGAGGAAUUCAGGGGUGAAAUGUCUGAGUGAUUAACACUGGUGUGUAACUCUGUGCUUUACACUGCUUUGAUAGCUGGUAAAUUUGACAGUAGACUUUAAAACACAUUCCAGCUGAGGUCCUGGUGACCCUGUGAAAGUGAUGUCCAGAGUAGGAAAAUUGGUAGAAACAGUAAAGAAAAAUGGAAAUAAUAGAGAUACAGAUAAAUACGAUCAGUUUGGAAAGAGUUAAUACAACUUACGUAAAAGGAAGUUAUACCUAACUAACCUAGCUGCUCUUUGAAGCAGUUUGAUGAAACAUGCUAAGAUAUGAGACACCACUUGAAAUGGAUUGCCUGGAUUUUCAUAAUGCUUUUGGCAAGUUUCCCUUGGGAAAGACUUUUGAGUAUGUUUGUAUACUGCAUACUGGAUAUAUAGUCUAGGUACAUGAGGGCAAGUACUGAUAAAUAACAUACUGAAAAACAGAAAGGGCUGGGGCAUGGUAGGGGAUGGUGUAAGAGGUCAAACUGCAUGUUGAAACAGGGAACAGAGAUGGAGCUCCAUGAGGCUCUGUGCUGGGACCUGCGAUGUCCAUUUCAGUGAAACUCAUGACCAUCCUUUAGAAAAUAUUAAGAAAAAAAGGUAUUCUGUUGUAUGUAGUUCUGACCUGACCUUGUACUGUUACUUCUACUUUGUCAGUCAGUUCUACUAUGUCAGUUUAUGAGCAAGUUUUAGCUGCUGACAUAAGUAUCUGAUUUAAAUGCCUAAAGGAUAGAUGUUAUAAACUUCCACUAUGUAUAAACUUUUGAGUGCUGAGUAACUGAAAGGUGAACACUGGGCAGUCGUGUCACUUAAAAAACCACUUAAAUCUUAGUGUAAAUGCUUUCCCAGGUUGAGCGAUGCAGCUAACCUUGAUCACCAACAGGCAAACCCAGGUGUGGCACAGUGUGAUAUUCUAUCUACAGGUUUCUGAUGACAGUGUACAAUAAGCCAUUUCUCCAGUGGAGUGAUUUUAGAUAUGCACGUGUGAAUAUUGUGUAAUAUUGUGUAAUAAGUUCUGAGUGGAUGAUUAAAUUAGACUUGAAAUCUAAAGAGGGAACGACCAGUCCAGCAAUGAGUGUUGCAACGUAACCCAGCAAGAUGCUCAGCAGCACACAGCCAUUUGCUCACUCCCUGUCAGUGAAAUGCAGGAGUGAACUGAAAAAUGGUAAAAGUGUGAGAACGUAUACAUUGAGACAAAGGCAGUUUAAUAAGAAGGAGAAGAAAAUAAAGAAAUAAAAAGAAUUUAAAAAAGCAAGUGAUGCAUUAGCAGGUCCGAAGAAGAGCAACAAAGCUGGUGAAGGGCAUGGAGAAUGCCCUAUGAGGAGUGACUAUAGUAACUGGGGAUGUUUAGCCUGGGGAAGAGUUGGCUGAGGGGAGACCUUAUUGCUCUCUUCAAAUACCUGAAAGGUGAUUGCAGUGAGAGUGGGGCUGGUCUCUUCUCAGUGGUGACAGGUGACAGGAUAAGGGGAAAUGGCCUCAAGUUGCACCAGGGGAGGUUUCCGUUGGAUAUCAG